UUUUUUUUUUUUUUUUUUUUUGAGCUGGGGUUUAAAGCCACGCUGUCUGACUUCAGAGCCUAUCCUCUUAACUACGAAUACUUUGCAUACUUUGGGUGUCUGUAUACGUAUGUAUAUUUUGUCCUAUCUGUGGCUUGCGGUAUCACCGUGUUGUUCACAAAAGCCCUGUCAGCAUCCCAUGGACAUAGACUGUGCCUUUCUCCAACAGAAGAGCAGUUCUCUCAUACGAGUGGCUUUAGCCUUUUCACUUCCUUGAUUCUGGGCUCACCCCUUCCUCCAGGGACCCCGUGCCAGAAAACAUUUCUUGCUUCCUCACUGACCAGCUGCCAGGAUCCCAGCAUGCCUUGCAGCCUAGCGGGUCCCAGUUUGACAUAUCCCUAUUGCAGCUUCUCCACCCAGUCAGAGCAAUUUGGAUGCUACUUGCCCAGUAUGGCUUAUAAAGCUGUCAGGGAGGCAUGCUAUAGUAAUGAUGGGGGGAUAGGCAGUCUGACUUCUGUUGGACGUCAAAUACAGUUUAAAGUGGAGGCCUGGAUACAUUUUUUGUGUACUUGCCUCUUGAACAUUGCCAUUGCCCAAAAGAGAGAGGAAUAGCAACCAAAACUAUCCUUCUGAUUUGAUUCUGACCAUGACCAAGAGCUAGGUGAUGAUGUGACGGUGCUCGGAUGAAAGACACCGCAGCAGCGUGGUGUUAAUAACAGCCGAGGAAAGAAAUGACAUGGCCACAGACCUUCCCUAGGAUGGAAGAAGUCUGAUUUUAGGAAGCCUCAGCUUACGAUUAAGGAUUCCAAAAGGGAAGAUGGUUUAUGGCAGGUGAGAUUCUGAAAAAUGAAGCCUCAGAGUUUUAUCUAUGAGUUGGAUGAAACUAGAGUAAGCAAGCUUAUCAAAUUUGUUGAUGACAAGACUGUGAUGGGCAGCUCCUAUAAAAGACAGAAUAAAUAUUCAAAAUGAUCUCAACAGACUGGAAUGCUGGGUUUAAACCAACAAGAUGAAAUUUAACAGGGGCAGAUGGAAAGUCACAUUUAGAUUGCACAAAUUAAUUACUCAAGUUCAUGAGGGGGGUGGAGGGUGCGAGCAGACUUGAUUUGGCUGAGGAUCCGGAGGAAAAAAUCUGAGGGGUUUAAUUGUGCACAGGCUUUAUAGGAACCAGCAGAGUAGACGGGCUUGCUCCAAACAGCACCGUCUUCAACGGUACUAAGAGAAGUGCAGGGACCAGAUUGGGGUCAUUGUGUCCUCAUCUCUGGACAUGGAUUUUAGAGGGGACCCUGACCGACUGUAGUGUGCUCCAUGGAGGGCAGCGAGCCACAGGAGGGGUUUGAGAAACCCAGCCACAAAAGAUCUGGUGAAGGGAACUCUUCCACUUAGCAAGAAAACCCUGGGGGUCAUGAUGGUUGACUGCCAAAGAGGCAGCACUUUGAUAGGAGAGAACACAGCUCAUCCAUUUGGGAGAACCAGAAGACUCCAGAGUAGCGAGUACAGGAAGCUGGAUUUUUUCAGAAUGAGCAUCUUCCCAACCAGAUGGGUUGUGGUGAAGCAGCACCAGCUGUCAAUCUUGCUGCCCAGGACCCUGCUCAGGGACUCCCGUACUGGAGGUGGAUGAUCGGCCCGGUGAAUCUCUAUCUCUGUGUGGCUCGGAGUCCAGAGGACACCUGCUGCCUUUCCUGACUGCUCUGGAGCCGUUGUCCUCAAAAUGACGUCCCCGACCAGCGGUACCAGCACCACCUGGAACCUGUUAGGAGCGCAAGUGUUCUUGGGUUGAACCCCAGACCUCCUGACUCAGUGAUUCUCAGGCUGGCGCCCAGCAACCUGCCCUUUAACAAGCCCUCCAGGCCAUUAUGUGCGCUGAGGUCUGAGACACUACCCUAGAACCCCCCCCUCCCCGACCCCAGGCCAUUUUUUUCUGUUGCUGGGUGCUCGUGGCACUUCGACAACCCAUAACACUUUACUGGGGAAAUAGUGUGGAAACUUGGAAGGCAUGUGGGGUUCGGGAUGAGACAGCCCUGAGUUCAAACCCAACCCGACUGAUUCUUGUUCCUGGGGGUUCUGUGAGCUCCAUUCUCUCUCUGAGCCUUCUUUUUUUUUACUGGAAAAUGAGGGAGGACUAGUUUAAGGGAGGAUUAAAUGACGUAGCAUAACCCUUGUAGCUAGAUGCUCACUAUGAGUAUCACGUCAUACUGGGAAGGGUUUUAUUGGCAUAGGAGUUGGUCAGAGGGAGGCCAGGGUGCGGCCUCUAUCCCCUACACCCACCAGGAGGGCACUCCUUCAGGGUUGGAGUUGGUUACCUCUGGGGCUGCCACCUUCAUCCCUCCGUGGACAAUGGAGAGCCACGGCCACUUUCCUUCCACCCCUAUUCAGGACUGCGUCCUUGUGAGCACGAGCAGGUUCAUCCUUCCAGUGGACGGGGUCUUGCCAAGCCUGAUCUCUUGAGGUGUAUGAGUCUAGCGUGCAGUUUGACCCACCGAGGCCAUCGAUGAGAGGUCUUGGGCCCGAACAGCCCUCAGCAGCCUCUAACUUUACAUGGGUAAGGAGCCUGAGUUCCUGGUGUCAGCCAGGCUGGGGAAUGAGUGGGCCCUUCUCGGAGCUGGAAGGUGCCAGGGUCACCUCUAGGAGUCCCUACGGGGCGGUCAGCCGGUGGCAUCUUCAGUUCUUCAGAGACACAGAGCUCGUUGCCCAGCAGGUGCCCAUUCAGUUUUGGGUCGACAAUGUCUAAUAGAAAGCUCUUCUAUUUCUCUGAGGUCUGUGUCUCUCCCCGAGGGCUCCAUCUCUUCCCACGUGGCUGUUCCAGGCAAACGCAGUCCCUUCCACGCCACAGCUUUUCAAGCAUUGGGGACCAAUUGCCUUCACGUCUCCCCCGCUUGCAUUAGUGCUCCUCUGACUUGUCUCUUCCUCCCUGGGCACAGAACUCUGAGCAUCCUCCCGCUUGUCUUAACUUGUGGUCACAAGGACCAAAUCUGGCCUUCCAGGUGAGGCCCGGCCAGCCACCCUCAUCAGUGCAGGCACCACAGCUUCUGUUAACGCAGCCUCAGUUCUGCGCUGGCUAUUUUUGGCAGCCACGUGGCCCUGCUGACUUUUACUGAGCUUGCAGACAACCAUUCCCCUCAGGUCUCUUUAUUAUAACUCGGAACUCAGCCCCAUCUUCCAAUUUUGUCUUUGUGUUGCGUUAGUUUGCUAGCGCUGCCGGAACAAAGUACCUCAAACUGGGGAGGCUUCACAAACAGAAGUCUGUUGUCUCGUGGGCAAUAGAGGCCAGAAGCCUGAGAUCAAGCCCUUGGCGGAGUCGGUUCCUUCUGAGGCCUGCGAGGGAGAGCUUUCCCCUAGCUUCUGGUGGUUUCCCGACAAUCCUUGCCCUGCCUUGGUUUAUAGAAACAUCCCCCUAGUCUCUGCCUUUAUCUUUGCAUGGGGCUCUCCUUGUGCACCUGUCUCCAAAUAUCCCCCUUUGUCAGGACACCAGUCGUGUUGGAUUAGGGGCCCACCCUCCUCAAGUAUGACCUCAUCUUCACUCAUUACAUCUGCAACAACCGCUUUCCAAAUUAGACCACAUUCGGAGGUACUGGGGACUGAAACCUGAACGUGUGGGUUUUAGAGGGACACAGUUCAGCCCAGAGCAGCGCUGUGGCCUUUUUGUUCUUAUGUUUGGGACUCUACCUUUUUCCCUAAUUCAUUUCAUCUUGUCUACGUUCAGUCCAUCCCUCUAGCCCACUAAAAUAUUUCAGAUUCUAAAAAUAAAAUAAGAUAAAUAAAAUAAAAUAAAAUAAAA
rnacentral:lncRNA from 1 species